UGUGUACUCCCUCCGUUCCGAAUUACUUGUCGCAGAAAUGGAUGUAUCUAGAUGUAUUUUAGUUCUAGAUACAUCCAUUUCUGCGACGAGUAAUUUGGAAUGGAGGGAGUAGAUG
rfam:Triticum urartu cultivar G1812 contig902205, whole genome shotgun sequence.